rnacentral:rRNA from 1 species
GGGGACAACCCGCCGAAAGGCGGGCUAAACCCGCGUACAUGCCACCGGGGCAUCCCGGAGGCAGGAAAGGCUUCGGCCGGACAGGGAUGGGCAUGCGGCGCAUUAGGCAGUAGGCGGGGUAACGGCCCACCUAACCGACGAUGCGUAGGGGUUCUGAGAGGAAGGUCCCCCACACUGGUACUGAGACACGGACCAGACUCCUACGGGAGGCAGCAGUGAGGAAUAUUGGUCAAUGGUCGGGAGACUGAACCAGCCAAGCCGCGUGAGGGAGGAAGGUACAGAGUAUCGUAAACCUCUUUUGUCAGGGAACAAAGACUGGGACGCGUCCCCGGAUGAGUGUACCUGAAGAAAAAGCAUCGGCUAACUCCGUGCCAGCAGCCGCGGUAAUACGGAGGAUGCGAGCGUUAUCCGGAUUUAUUGGGUUUAAAGGGUGCGCAGGCGGUCUGUUAAGUCAGCGGUCAAAGCCCGGGGCUCAACCCCGGCCCGCCGUUGAAACUGGCAGUCUCGAGUUGGAGAGAAGUAUGCGGAAUGCGCGGUGUAGCGGUGAAAUGCAUAGAUAUCGCGCAGAACUCCGAUUGCGAAGGCAGCAUGCCGGCUCCACACUGACGCUGAGGCACGAAAGCGUGGGUAUCGAACAGGAUUAGAUACCCUGGUAGUCCACGCAGUAAACG